GUAACCACUGAAGACUGCCCCAGCUGACAGCUCUGAAAAAAGACCUGUCAGCUAGGAGAAGGAUUGUGUCUAAUGGAAUGAAGAUCCUCAAUUGCAUCUGGAGCAGGAGGAGGGAGGAGGACACAGACACCCCACAGGAUUCCAUAAACACACCCAACCAAGACCAAAGGUGAUUUCCUUUCACUGCAAAGAACAACUGGUAUCAUUAUUUCAAGCACCUCAUGAUGAAGUUUAAGAGCUCACAUCUUACAGUGAUGGGUGCCAGGAUUAAAGAUGCAUUACGGCUGUCACUUCAAUGAAAAUGAAACCAGCAUGCUGCUUAGACACACGGGAACAGAACUUUCAAGCAGCAACCAGAAGACAACACAGGCUUCCUUUCCUUUCUCAUGGAGUUUGAUCAUUAUGUGACCCGUGCAGCUUCUGAUAGGGAAGUGAAAUCAAAUGUAUGCUCAAUAAUGAGCUUCACACUUCGAACUUUCAUAAUACAAUAAAAACAAUGUGCACAUCUCUA